rnacentral:rRNA from 1 species
UACGUAGGUGGCAAGCGUUGUUCGGAAUUACUGGGCGUAAAGGGCGCGUAGGCGGUCUUGUAAGUCUUGUGUGAAAUCCCUCGGCUCAACUGAGGAACUGCACGGGAUACUGCGAGACUUGAGUUCGGGAGAGGGAAGCGGAAUUCCGGGUGUAGCGGUGAAAUGCGUAGAUAUCCGGAGGAACACCGGUGGCGAAGGCGGCUUCCUGGACCGAUCACUGACGCUGAGGCGCGAAAGCUAGGGGAGCAAACGGG